AUUGAACGCUGGCGGCAUGCCUUACACAUGCAAGUCGAACGGCAGCACGGGGCAACCUGGUGGCGAGUGGCGAACGGGUGAGUAAUGCAUCGGAACGUACCUUUCAGUGGGGGAUAACGUAGCGAAAGUUACGCUAAUACCGCAUAUUCUGUGCGCAGGAAAGCAGGGGAUCGCAAGACCUUGCGCUGAUUGAGCGGCCGAUAUCAGAUUAGAUAGUUGGUGAGGUAAAGGCUCACCAAGGCGACGAUGUGUGGCGGGUCGGAGAGGAUGAUCCGCCACGCUGGAACUGAGAGACGGUCCAGACUCCUACGGGAGGCAGCAGUGGAGAAUUUUGGACAAUCGGGGCAACCCUGAUCCAGCCAUGCCGCGUGAGUGAAGAAGGCCUUCGGGUUGUAAAGCUCUUUCGGCCGGGAAGAAAUCGCACGGGCUAAUACCCUGUGUGGAUGACGGUACCGGAAUAAGAAGCACCGGCUAACUACGUGCCAGCCGCCGCGGUAAUAC
rnacentral:rRNA from 1 species